UACGGGGGGUGCGAGCGUUGUCCGGAAUCACUGGGCGUAAAGGGCGCGUAGGUGGCCUGAUAAGGGUGUGGUGAAAGUCCGGGGCUCAACCCCGGAUCUGCCGUGCCGACUGUUGGGCUGGAGUACUGUAGGGGCAGGCGGAAUUCCGGGUGUAGCGGUGGAAUGCGUAGAGAUCCGGAGGAAGACCGGUGGCGAAGGCGGCCUGCUGGGCAGUUACUGACACUGAGGCGCGAAAGCGUGGGGAGCAAACGGG
rnacentral:rRNA from 1 species